UUAGUAUGAGUACAUCAAUAUAUAUAAGGGCAAAAUAGUCGAUCCUCGAUCUAAACACUGAAUGCAGGAAAGAUAAGAGCAUUUUUAGUAUGUGAUGCUUAAUUACAUUCAAAAAGUAAUUAAUUUUUGAAGUAAUAGAGCCAGCUAAAAUGAUCAUGGAACAAUCAUGGCAAAAAUUCUUCUAUCCACCCAGGUGGGUGGUCACCCAAUAACGUGGCAACAAACUAUGCACGUUGAGGCGACUAACCAAUAUGAACCCUUGGAUAAGCCGUUAGUUAACAAAGACGAAGAAUGUCAGUUUUUGAAACAGAGUUGGCCAAAAACGUUGUUUGUCGACAUUGUAAAAUUCCAAGGGAUGGGUAAACUAGAACUGUGGUUGAUAUUCGAUGUCAGCGACGGGCAAUCCAUACAAGAGGGCUGAUCGAUGUUGCAUUGGAUCUUGGGCGAGGUUUGGUGGUCGUAGGAGGUUGAUAUCCAGAUCUCUCAGGCCAAAAUCGAAGUGGGGUUGGAUGGGCGCAGUCGACGGAAGGUAGUGGUUGGGUUGAGGACGGCGGGACAAUUUCUGUGAGUGGAACACAAUACUAGCCUUGCAGCCUCGUGCAAUCUAUUCACCUUUAAAGUUCUCAAUCUGAAGUGUUUAUAUGGUAUGACUUUGGAGAGAUUGAAUAUGGAGACAAAGGCAACAAUCGUCAGUUAGACGCUUUUGUCGUCAAAUCAAGUUCUACAAUUUCAUCUUCUUUUGAAUCCUCUGGGUUUUUCGAUUCAACAUCAGUCACACUUCGACCUUGAUAUAUCAAGAUUGAUGAACAAAUGGCAUCCUUUGCGAUCUCUGCAACACUUUUGGGUUCACACAACCCGAAAGGUCAAAAGGCCCAGAACCCAGUAACCCAGACAUUGGAUUUCCAGCGACGGGAACUCAGAUUUAAUCUUUCGCCAACUCACAACUGUCGCCGACGACUAAACCAUUGACAUCGGACAACACUAGCAGAUUUGGCUGAUUCCAUCUCUCCUUCCCAAAAGUUUUUAUGGCCAAAGGGGAAAUAUUGGAUUGAUUCAUAUUGUAUAGCACGUGCAAGGCAUUUAAUUACUCUAUUUACUAACCUCCACGUUU